UACGGGGGGGGUAAGCGUUGUUCGGAAUUACUGGGCGUAAAGGGCUCGUAGGCGGCCAACUAAGUCAGACGUGAAAUCCCUCAGCUUAACUGGGGAACUGCGUCUGAUACUGGAUGGCUUGGAUUCGGGAGAGGAAUGCGGAAUUCCAGGUGUAGCGGUGAAAUGCGUAGAUAUCUGGAGGAACACCGGUGGCGAAGGCGGAUCUCUGGGCCUGUACUGACGCUCAUGCACGAAAGCGUGGGGAGCAAACAGG
rnacentral:rRNA from 1 species